rnacentral:rRNA from 1 species
AGCAGUCGCCACGGUAAUACGUAGGUCCCGAGCGUUGUCCGGAUUUAUUGGGCGUAAAGCGAGCGCAGGCGGUUAGAUAAGUCUGAAGUUAAAGGCUGUGGCUUAACCAUAGUACGCUCUGGAAACUGGGAAACUUGAGCGCAGAAGAGGAGAGUGGAAUUCCACGUGUAGCGGCGAAAUGCGUAGAGAUGUGGAGGAACACCAGUGGCGAAGGCGACUCUCUGGUCUGUAACUGACGCUGAGGAGCGAAGGCGUGGGGAGCGAACAGGAUUAGAUACCCCGGUAGUCCCUGUCUCUUAUACA